AAAAUGAAUACCAAGUCUCUGAGUGAGCGGCAGGCCUAACACAUGCAAGUCGAACGGUAGCACAGAGAGCUUGCUCUCGGGUGACGAGUGGCGGACGGGUGAGUAAUGUCUGGGAAACUGCCUGAUGGAGGGGGAUAACUACUGGAAACGGUAGCUAAUACCGCAUAAUGUCGCAAGACCAAAGAGGGGGACCUUCGGGCCUCUUGCCAUCAGAUGUGCCCAGAUGGGAUUAGCUAGUAGGUGGGGUAACGGCUCACCUAGGCGACGAUCCCUAGCUGGUCUGAGAGGAUGACCAGCCACACU
rnacentral:rRNA from 1 species